GAUCAGCGGGAGUGGGAGGGGCGGGCGCCGGAUGUGACGUUUCCGGAAGCUCCGAGUGUCGUCCGCGGGGACAGAACUUCUUGGUCCUGAUGUCUGACCAUGGAGACGUGAGCCUUCCGCCCGAAGACCGGGUGAGGGCUCUCUCCCAGAUGGGUAGUGCAGUGGAGAUAAAUGAAGACAUUCCACCCCGACGGUACUUCCGCUCUGGAGUCGAGAUUAUCCGAAUGGCAUCCAUUUACUCUGAGGAAGGCAACAUUGAACAUGCCUUCAUCCUCUAUAACAAGUAUAUCACGCUCUUUAUUGAGAAACUACCAAAGCAUCGGGAUUACAAAUUGGCUGUCAUUCCUGAAAAGAAAGACACAGUAAAGAAGUUAAAGGAGAUUGCAUUUCCCAAAGCAGAAGAGCUGAAGGCAGAGCUACUGAAACGAUAUACCAAAGAAUAUACAGAAUAUAAUGAAGAAAAGAAGAGGGAAGCGGAAGAGCUUGCCCGGAAUGUGGCCAUCCAGCAGGAGCUGGAGAAGGAGAGGCAGAGGGUGGCACAGCAGAAACAGCAGCAGUUGGAGCAGGAGCAGUUCCAUGCCUUUGAGGAGAUGAUCCGGAACCAGGAGCUGGAAAAGGAGCGACUGAAAAUCGUGCAGGAGUUUGGGAAGGUGGACCCUGGCCUAGGGGGCCCACUGGUGCCUGACUUGGAGAAGCCCUCCCCAGAUGCGUUCCCCGCUGUACCUGCCACGUCCACACAGCCUGCGGACUGUAAUACGGCGGGAAGGCCUGCCAAGCCACCCGUGGUGGACAGGUCCUUGAAACCUGGAGCGUUGAGCAACUCAGAAAGUACUCCUACAAUCGACGGACUGCGCCAUGUGGUGGUGCCUGGGAGGCUCUGCCCGCAGUUCCUCCAGUUAGCCAGUGCCAACACUGCCCGGGGAGUAGAGACAUGUGGAAUUCUCUGUGGAAAACUGAUGAGGAAUGAAUUCACCAUUACCCAUGUUCUCAUCCCCAAGCAAAGUGCCGGGUCUGAUUAUUGCAACACCGAGAACGAAGAAGAACUUUUCCUCAUACAGGAUCAGCAGGGUCUCAUCACACUGGGCUGGAUUCAUACUCAUCCCACGCAGACCGCCUUCCUCUCCAGUGUUGACCUACACACUCAUUGUUCCUACCAGAUGAUGUUGCCAGAGUCAAUAGCCAUUGUUUGCUCCCCCAAGUUCCAGGAAACUGGAUUCUUUAAACUAACUGACCAUGGACUAGAGGAGAUUUCCUCCUGUCGCCAGAAAGGAUUUCAUCCACACAGCAAGGAUCCACCUCUCUUCUGCAGCUGCAGCCACGUGACCGUUGUGGACAGAGCAGUGACCAUCACAGACCUUCGAUGAGAACUUGAACACCUCCCAAGAAUUAUAAAAUCAUACCAGUGUACUGUAGCCCCUUAAUUUAAACUUUCCAGAAAGCUCUGAAAGCUUUUUUAGACAGAAUUGAAACUAAGUGGAAGACCUGAAAGAUCAAUAAUCAAUGAAGAAAUGGAGAAAAGUGUACAAGUAUUAUCUCCAUAUGCUUCUAUGAAUGAGUUCUUUCAAACUUUCAAGGAACAGGAAGAUGUCUUCUCUGUUAAGGUCAUUGCUGCCUGGAUGAGACCCAUCCCUUUUGUGGUAGAUAAUCUGCAUAACUCAAAGACUAUUGAUUUAAAUAAAUGAAAAGAUCAACAACUCCCAAGUGGAAGAAACUUUUUGACAUUAGAAAGAAGUGCUCAGUUACCUAUCAAAGCCACAGUGAUAUGGACCAACAUUGCUGCUGGGAAUGCAAAAUGGGUACAGCCAUUGUGGAAGGUUGUUUGGAAGUUUCUUACAAAACUAAACACACCCUCACUGUAUCAUCCUGCAGUCACCACUUGGUAUACAAAUGGGUUGAAAAUUCAUGUCUAUACAAAUACCUGCUCAAGGAUGUUUGGAACAACUUUAAACAGCAUCUAAGAUGUCCUCCAGUGGGUGAUUGGAUAAAUAAACUUGUGUGUCCAUCCAGACAGUGGGGCUGUUAUUCCUUACUAAAGGUAAAUGGGCUAUCAAACCAUAAAAAGACAUGAAGCAACCUUGAAUGCAUAUGAUUAAGUGAAAAAAGCCAAUCUAAAAAAGAUUCACAAAAAUAAAAUAAAAAAUCAAAAGGCUACGUAGUGUGUGAUGCCAACUAUAUGACAUUCUGGAAAAUCAAAACUAUGGAGACAAUGAAACAAUCAGUGACUGCCAGGAGUUGGAGUGGGUGAAUAGGGAUGAAUGGCUGGAACACAGAGGAUUUUUAGGACAGCAAAACUAUUCUGUAUGACACUGUAAUGAUGGAUACAUGUCAUCAGACAUUUGUCAAAACAUAUGAAAGGCACAGCAUCAAAAGUGAACUCUAAUAUAAACUAUGGUCUUUGGGCAAUAAUAACAUGUCAGUGUAUGGUCAUCGGUUGUAACAAAUGUACCAAUCUGGUUGGGGAUGUUGACAGUGGGGGAGGCUAUGUGUGUGGAGGGGUAGGGCAUAUAUGGUAAAUCAAUGUACUUUCUGCUCAAUUUUUCUGUAAGCCUAAAACUACUCCCCAAAAUAAA